GUAGGUGGCAAGCGUUAUCCGGGAAUUAUUGGGGCGUAAAGCGCGCGCAGGCCGGUUUCUUAAGGUCUGAUGUGAAAGCCCACGGGCUCAACCGUGGAGGGUCAUUGGAAACUGGGGAACUUGAGUGCAGAAGAGAAAAGCGGAAUUCCACGUGUAGCGGUGAAAUGCGUAGAGAUGUGGAGGAACACCAGUGGCGAAGGCGGCGUUUUUGGUCUGUAACUGACGCUGAGGCGCGAAAGCGUGGGGAGCAAACAGGAUUAGAUACCCUGGUAGUCCACGCCGUAAACGAUGAGUGCUAAGUGUUAGAGGGUUUCCGCCCUUUAGUGCUGCAGCUAACGCAUUAAGCACUCCGCCUGGGGAGUACGGUCGCAAAGACUG
rnacentral:rRNA from 1 species